ensembl:lncRNA
GCUGUACAGGAACGGGGGUCCAAACAGAUGUCCAAACAGGUGUCUUUUUAUGACCCUCAUCAAUCAAACUUUUCGAGACAAAGCAUACUAUACUCCCUCUGUCAUCAUCUUAACCUCAAAAUGUAAAAACACAAUGUACAUACUAUUACAUACUCUAGCUGGAGUGCCCGUGAGCUUCAUUAGAGGGCACUCCAUUCCAGACUCUUGCCACUUCACCCUGAACUCUAUUUCCCAUAAUCCUUUGCCAGGACUCCUCAUCAAUUGCAAUCACCUGUCUCUCAUUACCUCAUCAGUCUCACGCUAUAAAGGUUGCACACAUCCACACACACUUUGCUGAUUAUUGUUUAGCCUCUACCCUGUUCCCUUGCUUUGCGUUGCCUCGCCUCGCCUCCUUGUUUUUGACCUUGGACUGUUUAUCUGGUUUUUGAUUGUUUUGCUGCCUGCCCUUACCUUUGCCUGUUUCGGAUUCCUCUUUGUCUUUGCCAGGGACAUUAUUGUUUGCUGGUACUGGAAUCUGCCUGUUUGACCACUCUCUAUAAUAAAGCCUGCAUUUGGAUCCUCAACUCUAUUGUCACGAUCCCUCCAUCGUAACAGAAUAAUCAGCCGAACAAGGAUCCAGCGGCUUUCCUGAACGACACUGGGCAGGUGUUGCGGAGGUGGAACGCGACACUGCACUCACUCAUGGUAUGGCCGCCAGCCCAGCGCCUCUGCACAAGAUGGCCGCCAGCCCAGCGCCUCUGCACAAGAUGGCCACCAAUGCGGCGUUGCUGCACGAAAUGGCAGCCACCGUUGAGCUGCAAGGUCAAGUCACUACAGAGCUUCAUCAUACCACAACUGAUCUGCCUGAGCCUCGUCACGUCUCAGCUGAUCAUCCAGUGCCUUGCCUCAUCCUGUCUGUUGCACCCAGAUAUUUAAGGUCACCGUAGCCACCAGAUCCAGUCUGUAUCCAGAUCACAUGGUGGAUCAGCACCUAGACAAACUCUUGACAGCCCUGGAUGUCAGCGGAGACCAGGACAACUAUGAGCCCCAGAGACAGAUCCUCUUCACCAAGACAGCCAUCGGGACAAGACCACAGGAACCAGACCAGUCCUCUGCACAAUCUGAUCUGUGUUGAAGCCUGCAAUUAAACUGCUGGGUUCGUCUGUUCAGAGAAGAACGAUGGAGUUUUGGUUCCUUCGACACACAAUUUUUCUGUUUAAUACUGUAAAGCUGUAGUGUAAAUACAGUGACUGGACUUGACUCCAGUUGAAAUGUAACACCUGGUUCAUUUAUUUUUUUCUGCCUUCUGCCUCAUUUUAAAGAUGUAAUUGUGAACAGUAUUAAUAUUUUUUUAAAUAUUUGUUUGCAAACAUUUUUUUAAAGUGUAUUAGUCUUUUUUUAAGUUAAUUAAACAAAUGUUUAAAAUAAAAUUUUUCAGUUGUAUUGCAAAUGUAAUGUUUGACAACUGGAGCACUUUUUAAAGGCUAGUUGACCAGAAAAUUGAAAGUUGCUGUUAUUUUAUUGAUCCUCAGGCCAUCCCAGAUGUCAGUGACUUUUUUUCUUCAGUAGAACAGUAAAGAUUUUUAUCUGAAACAGUGAUCCUUGGUGAUUCAUACAGUGCAUGUCUGUGGCUGCCGGUUUUUGAUGGUUUAGCUUCAUAAGGCCUCACUGUGUCCUCAGAAGUCUUUGGUAAUUUGGUCUUGUCUGUAUAUGUUUGUUUGACUCUCAAAAGCCGGCAGCCGGAGACGUGCAGUUAAUGAAUUGCAAUGUUUUCAAAGACAAUGUUUUCACCUAAAAAUUUCCUUUACUGUUCAAUUGAAGAAAAAUGUUAACUACGUCUUGGAUGGCUUGAGGCUGAGUCAAUUAACAGCAAUUUUUAAUUUUGGGGUGAACUAUCCC